AGCGAGUGGAGCGCUCCUUGGGCUGCAGGCGUCGCCGUCACCACGCGGGCGCCCGCCCUCCCUCUGACGCCCGCGGGGGCAACCCGGGAGGACUCGCCGACACCGCGGCUGCAGCGUAGCCAAAGAAGGGCAGGCGCGGCGCCCGCGGGGCUCGGGGACGCCGGGCCUGGGAGGGGGCUGCAGCGGCUGGAGUUAGAGGUUCGCGAGCCACACGGGCUCGAGGAUGGGCCGACAGGGGCUCGGGCCUGGGGAGCGCAAGUCUCUGAGGCACGGGAGGGGCGGACGCAGAGACCGAGCGCCUAAUGUGGCUAGCGGAUCGUCUGCUCCCCGGACCCAGGAACUACCCGAAGCCCGCGCGGACCCACAGACCACCCCCAGCUCCGCCCCGCGAGGCCCCGCCUCUUCAUGCAACCUAAAAGUAACCAACUCCCCCCACGCGAAGGUUCCUAUCGGUCGACGGGCUGUGGGUGUAUUGCUCAGUGACGGCUUCGUUUAGUUUCUCCCAGCACCCAUAAUUCAAAGCAAGAACAACGACAUUAUGGGGAGAAAACGUCCUUUUGUGAAACAGAAGGCAAUCCACACCAUUAGUAAACCCCAUCAAUUUUGCCUUCAGAAUAUAUCCAGAUUCUUCCCAAUUCUACCGCCACCAUUCUGGUUCAAGCUACCUGGAUCUCACUUUGUUACCCAGGCUAGAGUGCAAUGGUGUGACCACAGCUCACUGAAGCCUCAACCUCCUGAGCUCACUUUUAAGCAAUCCUCUCACUUCGGCCUCCUGAGUAGCUGGGCCUACAGGCAUGUACCAACACUCCCAGCAAGUUUUUCUUAUUUUUGUGAAGACAGAGUCUUGCAGUAUUGCCCAAGCUGGACUUGAACUCCUGGCCUCAAGCAAUCCUCCCAUCUAGGCCUCCCAAAGUGCUAGGAUUACAGGCAUGAGCCACUGUGCCAAGCAACACUUGCAGUUUUUAAGUGAAAAUGAUCCUGUAAAUAUAUAUAUGAAUAAAAUCUAGAAAGCUAUAUAAAUCAAAAUGUUAAA
rnacentral:lncRNA from 1 species